UACGAAGGGUGCAAACGUUGCUCGGAAUCAUUGGGCGUAAAGCGCACGUAGGCGGCCUGUUAAGUCGGAUGUGAAAUCCCUCGGCUCAACCGAGGACGUGCAUUCGAAACUGGCAGGCUCGAGUAUGGAAGAGGGUCGCGGAAUUCCCGGUGUAGAGGUGAAAUUCGUAGAUAUCGGGAGGAACACCAGUGGCGAAGGCGGCGACCUGGGCCAAUACUGACGCUGAGGUGCGAAAGCGUGGGGAGCAAACAGG
rnacentral:rRNA from 2 species